rnacentral:lncRNA from 1 species
AUGAUCUUAGAGAUCUUUUCCAACCUUACUGAUUCUCUGAUUCUCUUCCAGAAUGCAAGAUUCACCUCUGAAGGGAGGCUUGUGUCCUGCUUAAACUUGUUUAAACUCACUGACAUUUUCAACCUGACGCAUUUUGGUUUUUUGCCUCCCAGGGGCCAAGCUCUCUGGAAACCACGGUCCCGUGUUGCCCCUCCCACUGAAAACAACUUAUCCCUCCCUGUACAGGAGGGGAAUAGUGUGACGUUGGCUCUGACCAGCAAUGCUUUGUCAGCUGGGAAAAUCCCAGUGCAAGCUGAGCUCUGUGUGUGCAGACAGGAGGAGGCACUGGCAGCGUGGCUGCAGCUGCACGGUUACGCAGGAUGCGGCCCCGUGAUGCCUGGUGUUGGGUGGCCAUGCUGCUGCUCGUCCUGUUCAGCAACACUGCUGGUGGCCGACGUGGAGCUGGAGGAAGAGCUGGGGGACGAGGAGGAGGAGGAGGAGGUGGAGGGGCAGGAGGGCUACGCGGGGGCUUUCGGUCCAUCUCCCGUGGAGGGAACACCGCAGGCCGAGGCUCCAAGAUGGCAAGUGCCAUCGCAGCUGGUGCUGCUGCAGGAUACGGGAUGGGGCUCCUGGGGCGCCCGCGACCCUCCCGCCUUGGUCAUGGCCCCCCGGCCCAACGGCAGCCCCCACCAGCUGGGGGGUUCCACGCUGCAGGCUGGCCGGACCUGGGGGCCAAGCGGGGGCCCCCCAGCCGAGCCCCCAGGGGACCGUGCGGUGGCAUUGUCCCCACUCUACUGCUGGCAAACGCCAUCUGCUUUGUCAACCAUGGGAUGUAACACCGAGAAUUGAUGUGGGGAGGGGGCACAGCACCCUCCAAGAUGAAACCAUGGGCGUUUGGUCACGUGCGGCUGUGCUGGGAGGUGGGAUGGGGAUUGGGGAGGGGGGAAAUGCUCUGCUGCUGUCUCGAUUCCUUUGGACCCUCCGCCAGCAGCCAUCCCCAUGCUCAUGGCAACCUUGGGAUCCUGCAAACCCAUCGAGCACACAAAGAAACAAAUACUUGCAAGGAAACUUCAGUAUUUCUACCCACACACUGGGCAGACACAUCUGGAUCGACCCCACCAGCCUCGGUGCUUGGCUCUGGUUUUGCAUGGCGUGGCAAAACCAGGAAAGAUGUUGAGAAAAGAUGUUCCUUUCCCCAAAGAAGAGCACUGGGACUCUGUUGGGGACAUGGGUCUCCAAAGUGGACCCCUCCAACUUGCAAUAAAGUUUGGUUUGGAGACA